GUCGGGUCCUAAGACUGGCGAUCCCAGCCUGCUCUGCCUCCAUCCGCGGUUGGGCACCCGCCUGCAGCUCCUCCCGGUGGCCCUGGAGUGACAGGUGCACAGCGCCUGCGCCUGGGCAGAGAGGACUGGUUCUGAGUGUAGGGAGCGUGGCUGAGGUGAUAGCCGGGUCACAACGUGGAAACGAUGGCCUCUGGACCUAAACGUUGCUCCUGAAGAGCAUUGGGAUUGAUCUAUGGGGAGCGCCCUGGGAAUGAACACCCGGGUAUUAAACCUCAGUGAGAGGAGAGACGGGCAGGACCUCAGAGUCCGCAAUCGCGCCCUGAAGAGAUUGGAUCACAGGGGCAUUCUCAGACCUCCAAAAAGGGAAAGCCGGGGGCUUGAGAGAGACUGGCAAGGCAAUGAGUUGGGGACUUGACAUCAGAAGGCGUGGCUGGGUGCACAAAUCUGGGAUGGUACCCACGCCUUCACCUGCUGGAGAUCAUGUAUCUUGUGUACCAGUGGAGCUCUAGACACCUACAGGAAAGACCUUGUCAUUUUCAGCAGUGUGCAAACAAUCUGGAUGUCCACCCAGUGGGGAAACUGCAGGGCUACACGGAUCCUGUCCUAGUAGAAGACUGAAUUGGACACGGGGCCUCUGUCUGGGCUUCCCUGAUUCUCAUGUCUUCCCCCUGUCAGCGGAAUCCAGUGGAAUCUUCUCUUGUUGGUCGCCUGUAUGCACUCCCUCACCUUUCUGCCUUUAGAGUAAAACUGCAAGACCUGUGGCACCUACUGGGAUCCAACUGCAGAGACCAUGCCACAUCUAUGCACCUGGGUGUCCCUAUGCAGCACGGUACUUCUGCUUGGCUAUGCUGGACAGCGCCACUCCUGAAAGGCCGCUUAGCUGUCUGUCUUACCCGGGAAGCUGUCUAGAACCUCUUGGAAGAGGUGCUAGAUGGCCAGGUGAAGCCUUGGAUGCUUGUCUCAGUACUUUGAACUUCUCCUCUGGGCCAGGGAGCAUUCUGGGAAUGCUAAUUAUUAUUAUUAUUUUCCUAAUAAAUCCAUGGAAGGUUAUUGAAUAGAUGAGUGGCAAGUAUGGAGCAAGUGGACCCAUGCACUGGAGAUUGCACAGGCUCCCUUGUGUAUACCCCUUUCCUGUGGGAAACUGACCUGAAUGAAGAGGUAAGGGCAAGUUUUGCAUUGAUAUCCUGGCUUGGCUGCCUUCAGCCCAACUUUCAGGGAACAGAGUCUUGGUUAGUUGUGACUAGAUUUGUGGCUUGGUUAGAUUUCCAAAUCCAUCCUGCAUCCCAGCUUUCCAGCACAGCUCUCUCCACUUAUUUCCUCAUUCAUUGGUCUAGGGCAAGCUAUAUUGACUUGCCUAUGAGUCAGGACUUUAUCCUUGACCAAGAUGUAUGUGAGGCGUUACAUGGUACAAAGCAAUGCAGCAGAGUGUGUAUAAAGGAGGAGUGGACAAACAGUGAUUGGCAUUUCUGCAGAGGCCUGUGGUAGACUGUACCAGAGUAGUUCCAAAUAUAUACUGUCCUUCCUACUGCACUCCUCAUUAAGAGGGUUAUACAUUCACGCUCCAUUUACAAUAGGCUUGGCUAUAUAACUUGCUUUGACCAAUGGAAUAUGGUCAUUUCCAAAUAGAAGAUUGAUGCUCCAGUGAGUAGUUUGGCAGCUUCCCUUCUCUUUUCCUUCUGCCAUGAGCCUGGCAAUUGCCAGAUCAAGACUUCCUCAGCCUAGAACCCAGAAUUAAGAUGAUACGAAACUGAGCUGCAGCCUACCUACAAAAUGAUGUGUGUAAUCUAAGUGAGAAAUAGACUUCUCUUGCUGUGAGCCACUGAUAUUUGGAUGUUGGCUGACACCACAUCAUAUGUCUGAACCAGCUAUUACAGAACUAGUACCUAGAAGCAGGGUGCUGCUACAAUAAAAAAUAAACCUGCAUUAUGAGGCAUUGACUUUGGAGCAGUGGCUGGUGAGGAAACCAUCAUUGGAAGUUGGAAAGAUGGUGAUGUAUGCUAUGCAGUGGUAAAGCAUCUGGUUAAACUGUAAGCUGGAAAUAACUAAAAAUAUAAAUAAUGUCCAUGUAAGCUUGGGGCUUUAGGCAGAAAGUUGGGGGAAGAGAAUAUUAGUAGCAUGCCUUGGUUGCUAUUGAAUACAUUUGAUGAGUCACUGUAAGAAAGAGAUAACUUCAAUAACCAAAAUAUACAAAAAAUAAACAAAUUAACGAUAUUAAGUUACAAAAAAAGAAAGAGAUAACUCAGAAAAUAAUUGGCCAGUUUUUAAGCUGAAAUUGAAGAGAAUAUAGAAACUCCAUGCAAGUGAUCCACAUUUUUAAUCAGUGAAAGAUAUACUAACAAGGCCGUUAAACCACAAAGUGUGAUUAAAACUCACCUUUGUGUAAGGGUCAUAUCAAGUGUAUGGCUCUCAGGCCUUUUGUAAAAACCUCUGAAUUGGUCAUAAUGGUUCCUAAUAAAUCCUUUCAGUUAGUCAAGAUGAUUCAGAGAAAAGAUUAAGAGCAUAACUCUUCCAGAGGAGUUAGUAGGCUCCAUUUGCCUAUAAUUAAGUCUAAAGAGAGAUGCUUAUCUGAAAAGAAUUGUGGGUUUGUCUGUUGGCCCACAGAAUUGACUGGAAUCAAAUAUAUAAGCAACUUUCCCCACCAAAAAAACCAAAACAAAACAGCCAUUAGCUUGGAUUUUUAAAAGACCAGGAUUGUUCAAGACUUAACAUGACCUUGAGGGCUUCCAAAUUUUCAGGGGUAUGAAGAAGACUGAGAAAGCUGCUCCACCACAAAGGCAUAACCUCCAAUGUGGCCAAGGAGAAUACAUGGAAAAGGGUGGGCUAUUCUAAGGGCAGAGCCAAGGAUACGGAGAAGAAUGAACUAGGAAACUAGUCCCAGGAAGCAGUUGCACUCCCAGGGAAAGGUAGGGGGCCUUCUCAACAUCUGCCAGCAAAAUUCUAGAAUUGCUGUGGACCAGUAAGUGCUGUGUAUCUCUCAUUCUUCCUUCUGAAUGGGAGUGUUUACUGCUAUCAUCCUGUCCCUGUUCUGUUUCAUAUGUUGGGGGUAGGAGGUGAACUAACUUUAUUAUUAUUAUUAUUAUUUUGGUUCAUAGGCCUCUGGAUCAAGAGAAGCCAUCUCUGGAUCUGAUAUACACACUAUUAGAUGGAAAAUUCCAGAUUGAGGUUGUUGCUUCAGACUGGGUUCUAGAAUGAAGAUGAUGUAGAACACUACCCUACGGAGGACAUGGACUGUCUAGUGAGCCUUCAUGAUUCUUGCUGACUCUUAGCAACUAAGUGGGAGCUGCUCAUGUGAAGUAGAAAAACAUCCAGACUUUCUAGCAUCAACUAGAUGGUAUCUAGUAAAUGUCAAUCUCACAUACAUCCUAAGACCACAACGGCACCAUUACAAAGGGAUUGUUCAAAAGGAAGAAAGAGAAACUAAAGCCCAAAUUUACCUUAAUUGUAUGGAUAUCUACCCUUCCAAGAAGUCCCAACAUAAUGGACAAUAAAAAUAAAUUCUGUAUUAGUUUGUGUAUGGGUACAACUGCAUGAAACAGAAACCCAAACUAACCAGGGCUUAACCAAGAGAGAAGUUUAUUUCUCUCCUAUAGAAAAGCCCAAAUUAUGGUGGGCUUUUACAUGAAGUCAUCAGGCCCAUGAAUAAUAAAAAAAUUAAUUAUUUUAUCUUGUUGCUGUUGCAUCCCUGGAGUACUGCCCUCAUCCACCUGGUCCAAGAUGGUCCACCAUCACCUCCACAGCCUAGCCCUUGUGAAACAGAAAAGUGAAGGGAAUGGCUUGCCCUUAACCCUAAAUUGUAGAAGUUGUACAGGUAAUUUCUGCUCUAAUCCUAUUGACCAGAAUGUAGUCACAUGGCCACAUCCAGCUGAAAGGGAUGCUGAGAAAUACAAUCUUUACCCUGGGCAACUUUUUGCCCAGAUUAAAGUUCUAGGGAAACUAGAGACCUAGGCUUAGCAGUCUCACUCUGGAAGAACAAAUAUAUUGGGGGAUCACCAGCAGUUGCAACCAUACACUAUGAGUGUUAACCCAUCCCAACUGUAUUAGUUUCCUAUUACUCCUGUCACAAAUUACUACAAACUUAGUGGGUUAAAGCUACACACAUCUAUUCUUUUACAGUUCUGGAGACCAGAAACCCAAAAUCAGUUUCACUGGACUAAAAUCAAGGAGUUGGCAGGGCUGCUUCCUUCUGGAGGAACUGCUUGCUUUUUUCAGCUUCUAAUGGAUGCCUGCAUUCAUUUGCUAAUGGAUCCAUCCUCCAUUUCAAAGCACAUCAUUCCAAUCUCAGCUUCCAUCAUCACAUCACCUCUGACUCUGACCUUCCCAUCUCCCUCUUAAGAGGACCCUUGUGAUUACCUUGGGCCCACCCAAAUACUCCAGGAUAAUCUCCUAUUUUAUGAUCCUUAAUUACAUCUGCAAAGUCCUUUUUGCCAUAUAAAGUAAUAUUCUCAGGUUCUAGGAAUUAGGAUGUAGAUAUAUUUAGGGAGCCAUUGUUCAUCUUACUAUACCACUCUGUUCCAUAUUUGACUCCAUUCAUUUACUCAUAAAAUAAUUACUGAGCAAGACUUAUGUACCAGGCAUUAUGGCAGGUUCUGGAAAAAUAGAGGUGAAAAUACAGGCAAGAUCUCUGCUUUCAUGGAGUUUAUAUUUUAGUGAAGAGAACAAGUAAGGAAAUUGCUAAGAUAUUCCUAAACCAUGACAUGUAUUACUAAAAAGCUAAGCAGCAUGAUGUGACAAAAAAUGACGAGGGUUGGUGAUAACUGUAUAAUGGGUAGUCAGGAUUGGCUUUUUAGGGAAGGUGACUAAUCCAAAGGGUAGAACUGAGUGCUCAAGGACAGAACAGGGGCAUGAAGUAUUAUUUCUUAAGCCUGCGUACCUAAGGGAAUUGGUUCAGCCAGAUUUUGAGAUUUCUUAGGAUCAGUGACUCCUUUUAACCUUCCAUUUUCCCUCUUUUUGAAUCAGAAUGUCUAUAACUAUUCUCCUAUGUAUGUCCCACCACUGCAUGUUGGGAGUGCAUGACUUGUUCCUUUAGUUUCAUAGGUUCACAGAUGGGAGGAACUG